CCCUGUCACUCAAAAGGUCAAGAAUCUGCCUGUGAUGCAGGAGACCAGGGUUCGAUCCCUGGAUUGGGA
rnacentral:tRNA from 1 species